CAGCCGCCGCGGUAAUACGAAGGGGGCUAGCGUUGCUCGGAAUCACUGGGCGUAAAGGGUGCGUAGGCGGGUUUUUAAGUCAGAGGUGAAAUCCUGGAGCUCAACUCCAGAACUGCCUUUGAUACUGAAAGUCUUGAGUAUGGGAGAGGUGAGUGGAACUGCGAGUGUAGAGGUGAAAUUCGUAGAUAUUCGCAAGAACACCAGUGGCGAAGGCGGCUCACUGGCCCAUAACUGACGCUGAGGCACGAAAGCGUGGGGAGCAAACAGGAUUAGAUACCCGUGUAGUCCCUGUCUCUUAUAC
rnacentral:rRNA from 1 species